rnacentral:lncRNA from 1 species
CCUUGAUCCUUCAGCUGUGUUCACACCUUGGUAUCUUCAUGAUUUUCUUCCAUUUAUGCUCUCCUCUUGGUGCCUACAAUGAUGACCAUUGGAUGAUGUGAGCUUAAUUCCUAGCCUUUGAUUUCUUCAUGAAUCUAUGUGAUAGUAUCCCAAGGAUUGAUAGCCUUUAGAUCUUCCUUGAUUUUUCUCAACCCUUGAUCUCUUCUUACCCUGGAUCUUUAUCUUAGGUGCCUAGAUCUCUACUAUUGAUUGUGUCAUUGUGAUGGAAGCCCUUGGAUCUCCUUUAUGGCUCUUGGAUGU